GCAAGAAUAUGUUAUUUAACUAGAUGAAUAAACUUUAGUUUAAUAAGCUAAAUUUUUUGAGUGAAAUACGAAAAUGGAAUUUAGAAUUCAAAGAUUUCAGCAACAAAAUCAAUUAAGGAUCUGAGAAGAAGUUUUUUUCCUAACUCAAGUCUUUGAUAGUCAUUUCAAACAAACUAAGAUUAUAUAAGGAAUUCCAAUACUUCUGCUAUAAGCA